rnacentral:lncRNA from 1 species
CGUACUUCCCAAACGGCUGAGACACAGAGUUAGGACGAGGGAAGGACGGUUAGUCAGCAACUGCUAGAGCUGCGUGGAGAUCUAAGCCRGACGGACGUGGGGUGCGUUCCCCCCGCAUAGAAACGCCUGCCAAUGGUUUCUCGUUUGGACCCAGACUCCGAUUCCGGAGCAGUCUUGUAGCUGCAUCGCCAAAGAGAUUCCAAAGCAGAAAGAAGAAAACAUUACAAUUUGGG